rnacentral:rRNA from 1 species
UGAGCAAUCUGCCCUUCUCUUCGGAAUAAGCGUGGGAAACCGCGUCUAAUGCCGAAUACGACCUCCUUUCGCAUGAUCGGAGGUGGAAAGCUCCGGCGGAGAAGGAUGAGCUCGCGGCCUAUCAGCUAGUUGGUGUGGGUAAUGGCCCACCAAGGCGACGACGGGUAGCCGGCCUGAGAGGGUGACCGGCCACACUGGGACUGAGACACGGCCCAGACUCCGUACGGGAGGCAG